rnacentral:rRNA from 1 species
ACCCUACUGCUAUCGGGGUAGGACUAAGCCAUGCAAGUCGAGCGUUUCCUAGCUAUGUUGGAGACGCGGCAUACUGCUCAGUAACACGUGGUUAACCUGCCCUUAGGACCAGGACAACCCCGGGAAACUGGGACUAAUCCUGGAUAGAUGAGGUUUCCUGAAAUGGUGCUUCGUUGAAAAGGCAUCAAGAGCAUGUUUUUGAUGUUGCCUAAGGAUGGGACCGCGUCCGAUCAGGUUGUUGGUGGGGUAACGGCUCACCAAGCCUAUAACCGGUACGGGCCCUGAGAGGGGGAGCCCGGAGAUGGAACCUGAGACAAUGUUCCAGGCCCUAUGGGGCGCAGCAGGCGCGAAACCUCCACAAUGCACGAAAGUGUGAUGGGGUUACCCCGAGUGCCUUCCGUUGAGGAGGGCUUUUAACUGGUGUAACAAGCCAGUAGAAUAAGGGGGGGGCAAGAUUGGUGUCAGCCGCCGCGGUAAUACCAACCCCCCGAGUGGUAGGGACAAUUAUUUGGCUUAAAGCGUUCGUAGCCGGCUUGGAUAGUCUUCCGUUAAAUCCAGCGACUAAUCGUUGGGCUGCGGAAGAUACUUUCAAGCUAGGAGGCGGAAGAGGUCGGCGGUAUUCCUAGGGGAGGGGUGAAAUCCUAUAAUCCUAGGAGGACCACCAGUGGCGAAGGCGGCCGACCAGUACGCGCUCGACGGUGAGGGACGAAAGCUGGGGGAGCGAACCGGAUUAGAUACCCGGGUAGUCCCAGCCGUAAACGAUGCANGCUAGGUGUCGGGGUGGCUACGUGCCGCUUCGGUGCCGCAGGGAAACCGUUAAGCCUGCCGCCUGGGGAGUACGACCGCAAGGUUGAAACUUAAAGGAAUUGGCGGGGGAGCACUACAAGGGGUGAAGGCUGCGGUUUAAUUGGAGUCAACGCCGGACAGCUUACCGGGGGCGACAGCAGGAUGAAGGUCAGAUUGAGGGUCUUACCAGACAAGCUGAGAGGUGGUGCAUGGCCGUCGCCAGUUCGUGCCGUGAGGUGUCCUGUUAAGUCAGGUAACGAACGAGACCCCCACCGCCAGUUGCCAUCGAACUCCGUUGGGGUGGCGAGCACUCUGGUGGGACUGCCGUCGAUAAGACGGAGGAAGGAGGGGGCAACGGCAGGUCAGUAUGCCCCGAAUCCCUCGGGCUACACGCGGCCUGCAAUGGUAGGUACAGAGGGUUUCGACCCCGAAAGGGGGAGGUAAUCCCUAAAACCUAUCGUAGUCGGGAUCGAGGACUGAAACUCGUCCUCGUGAACAUGGAAUCCCUAGUAAUCGCGUGUCAUUAUCGCGCGGUGAAUACGUCCCUGCUCCUUGCACACACCGCCCGUCGCUCCAUCCGAAUUGGGUCUAGAUGAGGCAUAGUCUUACAGGCCGUGUCGAAUCUGGGUUCAGUAAGGGGGGAG